rnacentral:rRNA from 1 species
AUUGGAGGGCAAGUCUGGUGCCAGCAGCCGCGGUAAUUCCAGCUCCAAUAGCGUAUAUUAAAGUUGUUGCGGUUAAAAAGCUCGUAGUUCGAGUUCAGUUUCGGACUGGGGUGGGAGGUCACCGCCCGGUGCUUCCCCUCUAGGCUCCGAACAGCUUCCUUUAUAGGAAGCCAAGCCGGUUCUGGCGGGGUGCUCUUUACCGAGUGUCCCGCGCGGCCGGCCAGUUCACCUUGAAUAAAUGAGAGUGCUCAAAGCAGGCUACUCUGGAAUACAAUGCCCGAAUGUUAACUGCAUGGAAUGAUGGAAGAUGAUCUCGGUUCCAUUUUGUUGGUGGUGGGAGCCAGAGGUAAUGAUAAACAGGGACUGUCGGGGGCAUCCGUACUACGACGCGAGAGGUGAAAUUCAGUGACCGUCGUAGGACGAACAACAGCGAAAGCAUUUGCCAAGAAUGUCUUCGUUGAUCAAGAACGAAAGUUAGAGGAUCGAAGGCGAUCAGAUACCGCCCUAGUUCUAACCCUAAACGAUGCUGACUAGCAAUUCGCCGUCGUUAUUCCCAUGACGUGGCGAGACGCCCCCGGGAAACCUCAAGUUUUUGAGUUCCGGGGGUAGUAUGGUUGCAAAAGUGAAACUUAAAGGAAUUGACGGAAGGGCACCACCAGGAGUGGAGCCUGCGGCUUAAUUUGACUCAACACGGGAAAGCUCACCAGG